UACUGUAUGUUCAUUUUAAAGCCUAUGUAUAAAUUCUAAGAACGGUGAUUUAAUUGACAAGCGUGAAUGCAAGCUCAUAGUCCACCCCUAUCAUUUGAAUCAAAUAAUUUUCACAGUGUAUUAAUUUUUUGUUUUUUGUUUUGUUUUUGGAAUUAUCACCACCACCCUAUAAUGGGUUCCAUGAUUAUGUAUGAGGUUAAUCAUAAAGAUUAUCUAGAGAGUUUAUGGAGUUAGACAAAUAAUCGGCUAUACACGUUGUUAUACAUAAUAGAGAUCCAUAUUUUUUUCUAAAAUAA
rnacentral:lncRNA from 1 species